CAGCAGCCGCGGGAAUACGAAGGGUGCAAGCGUUAAUCGGAAUUACUGGGCGUAAAGCGUGCGUAGGCGGUUUGUUAAGUCUGCUGUGAAAUCCCCGGGCUCAACCUGGGAAUGGCAGUGGAUACUGGCAAGCUAGAGUGUGUCAGAGGAUGGUGGAAUUCCCGGUGUAGCGGUGAAAUGCGUAGAGAUCGGGAGGAACAUCAGUGGCGAAGGCGGCCAUCUGGGACAACACUGACGCUGAGGCACGAAAGCGUGGGGAGCAAACAGGAUUAGAUACCCGUGUAGUCCCUGUCUCUUAUAC
rnacentral:rRNA from 1 species